ACGGGUGAGUAACGCGUAUCCAACCUUCCGUACACUCGAGGGAUAGCCUUUCGAAAGAAAGAUUAAUACCUGAUGGUAUGAUGAGAUUGCAUGAUAGCAUCAUUAAAGAUUUAUCGGUGUACGAUGGGGAUGCGUUCCAUUAGGUAGUAGGCGGGGUAACGGCCCACCUAGCCUACGAUGGAUAGGGGUUCUGAGAGGAAGGCCCCCCACAUUGGAACUGAGACACGGUCCAAACUCCUACGGGAGGCAGCAGUGAGGAAUAUUGGUCAAUGGGCGCUAGCCUGAACCAGCCAAGUAGCGUGAAGGAUGAAGGCUCUAUGGGUCGUAAACUUCUUUUAUAUAAGAAUAAAGUGCAGUAUGUAUACUGUUUUGUAUGUAUUAUAUGAAUAAGGAUCGGCUAACUCCGUG
rnacentral:rRNA from 1 species